GGGCGCUCUCCCCGCGGUGCGGGACGCCCCGGGGGCACCGCCCCGCGCACCUGCGGACCUGACGGCGGACUCGCCCCGGCGCGGGCACGGGCGGCUGAGCAAUGUUUAUUCGGGACGGGCGGCCUGUGCCGUCUGUGGCUGCCCUCAUCCUAGCAUCACAUGCGCUAGCGCUCCCCAGCCAGCCUGCUCUAGCAGCGAAGUGGUACGUGGUUUACUAGUUGAAAUACUUACUGGUGCUGUUUCGUGGCUGAUGGACAGUUCUGAAGUUAAAUAUAGUUGCAUUUUUCUCCUUUAUAAUUUUUUGAUACAAAAAGGAAAAAAGGACAAAAUGGUCUGCUAUGAAAUGUCUGCUGAAAGACUUGAGACAGAAACACACUAGAAAAGCUAGAGGUACUUUUUCUCAUGAUCUAAGCAAGGGCUUGGUCCACAAAAGGUUAUUUAUUUAUGUAGUUAUUUAUUUUUAAGCUGCAUUAGAUGACUUACCAGUAUAAUCUUUUCUGAAUUUUGCUUUACAGACUUUCCAAAACAGUCCCAGCUGCACUAACCCUCUGCUGCAGUAACACUUUUACAUCUGCUGUGCCCUACUCAUGGCUAGGGCUGGAUUUCCCAAUGUAUUUGGCACUGUACCUGAAAUUUUUAGUCCAGGGCUGCUUCCAAGCACAUUCAGAACUGGCAGCAAGCUCUCAGGAGGAGCUAAAUGUGCAGGAUCUUCUUUGUGAUGCUCAUGCACCCUUAAAAAGCCAGAGCCACUGCUGCUUUGCUCAGGUAAGGGAUAGAAGCAGUACGGGAGAUGACAGCCUCACUCCAGUGCUUCCCAGCAGCAAUCACAACCUGUCUCCUACCCUCAUGCUGCCAGGUGAUAUAGAAGGCUCAUCUGCUCUGGAGUUACCCUGAACUUGAUCAUCCCGAGCAGUCUUGGCCUGCUGCCAUAGAAACCACCCAACCUUAGACAUCCCAGCCAGCCAAACCUCUUCCCACUCAGGCGAUGGUUCAAUCUGUUCUGCAGCCCAUGUUGCCUACCCACCUAAAAGCACCUGAGCCAUACCUUCUGCUGACCCAAGACCCCCUGUGUCUUCCCUCUUUGUUGUGCCAGCUCUGACUUUGCAGGCCAAUGUACACACACAGAGAA
rnacentral:lncRNA from 1 species